rnacentral:rRNA from 1 species
GACGAACGCUGGCGGCGUGCCUAAUACAUGCAAGUAGAACGCAGUUGCUAACGGGCGAGUAACGCGUAGGUAACUGCCUGGUCGCGGGGGAUAACUAUUGGAAACGAUAGCCAAUAACGCAUACUACCAGAUGGACCUGCGUUGUAUUAGCUUGUUGGUGGGGUAACGGCUAACCAAGGCAACGCUACAGAGCCGACCUGUGAGGUUGAUCGGCCACACUGGGCCUGAGACACGGCCCAGCCUCCUACGGUAGGCAGCAGGGGGUAAUCUUCGGCAAUGGCCGAAAUUUUGACCGGGAAACGCCGCGGGAGUGACGAAGGUUUUCGGAUCGUAAAACUCUGUUGUUGGAGAAGCGGUAUCUAACCAGAAAGCCACGGCUAACUACGUGCCAGCCGCCGCGGUAAUUC